GUAAUCUAGUGAUAAAGUAAAAAUUAAUGCUGAUUUUUAAUGGUGUUAAAUUGUUAAUGCACAGAUUUCCUAAGGAUGCUGAGCGAAGGCUGGAGUGGUGUAAUGCAGUGCAGAUGCAGACGGCAGCUCUGGAGCCGUUCACUCUGUCCUGUAACAGCGUGCUGUGCAGUAAACACUUCACCGAGGACAUGUUCGACCGCACUGGCCAGACUGUCCGUCUGAGAGACACUGCCGUACCCUCUGUCUUUAAUUUACAAAUCACUAAGAAAGUAAAAGAUGAAGCUACAAAAGAGAUGAUUCCACACAAAAGGAGAAACAGUGCACAUCUGCUGAGAAGAAGAAGAAAGAAGAAUUGGGAAGGAAGCAAUAAAGAGAGAAUACAAAGCACAGCCUCAGGUCUGGGAGAGUUGGCUCUGGCGGCUGAGCUGAUGGAGGAGAGCCAGCAGGAGAUUCAGAAAGGAUUCCAGAACGACCACGGUGGCCUUCCCCUCCCGUCCGACCCGGCGAGACUGAGCGUUCUGGUGCGAAACCUGGCGAAAGAGAGACACUGGCAGGGGGAGACGCUGCUCUCGCUCCGCAAAGAGCUCAAAACCAAGGACGCUCAGCUGCAGGAGAAGAAGCUGCAGUUGGAGAGGAUGGUGGAGAGUCAGAGAGAUGCUGAUAAGUAUAAAAUCUGCUCUCUGGAGAACAUGUUAUGUAAGCAGCGCCUGGAGACGCUGAAAGUACAGGAGGAACUGUCCCAAACCAGGAAGCAGCUGAAGGAACGUACAGAGGCCCUGCACUGCCUGGCUGCUGUCAGACAGAUCCCGGUGCGCUGCAGUCCUCAUUACGUCUCCGUAUUUCAGCCUAAACACACUCUGUCCUGUGUUUCGGGUCGUCAGCUGACCGUCCUGCACUGCGUGGACCUCUUCUGUAGCUCCUCAAAACGGGACCGGCAGCAGGCGGCCAGAAGGCUACGCCCCUCCUCAGACGGGCAGCACCUAUCAGCUCUGCCGUAUCGAUUUCCCUGCCCGGUCCGUGUCUGCGCCGUGGCCUCGCCGGAGGGCUACCUGGGCUUCUGCAGCUCCGCCCGCCUGGACGAGUGGCAGGAGUGGACAGCCAAUCAGGAUAACCCAAAGCCUUUAACCUUACCUGCGUUUGUAAUGAAUGGGGAGGGGGCGGAGCCUCUCGCUGGUAUGCCAGUAAGGGAAGUGCUGAGUAUUAAGAGUCUGACGGACAAAGUGAUGAAAUAUCAUUAUCUGAGGACGGUUCAUGCACACGGGUCAGAGGCUCUGCUGGACCAGGCCUGGGAGGUGUGCUGCUACCUGGCCUGCCUACUGUAUCAGCCAAUGGGGCUGCGCUAACUGCAGGUCACUAGCCAAUAGGGCUCCAAGAUACUGGAAAAAUAAUUUUUGGCUCUGCAGCGUAUAUUGCUGUUAGUGUUGUUGUCAAGACCACUAGACCUGAUUCAAGACCAAGACUUGUAGGUAUUUGAGUCCAAGUCAAGACCAAAAGUUUUGGUAGUUAAAUCUGAGUCCAAGACCAAGACUUCUAGUUGUUGAGUCCAAGUCAAGACCAAGACUUUUGGUGAUCAAGUCCAUUUCAAAAUCAAGACUUUUGGUAGUUGAAUCCAAGUGAAGACCAAGACUUUCAGUUGUUGAAUCCAAGUCAAGACCAAGACUUUUGGUUGUUGAGUCCAAGACUGUUGGGCAUUGAGUCUGAAUCAAGACCAAGACUUUUGGUAGUUAAAUCUGAGUCAAGACCAAGAUUUUCAAUUGUUGAGUCUGAGUCAAUACCAAUAUUUUGUUAGUUGAGCCAGAGUCAAGACCUGGACAUAUUGAGUCCAAAACAAGUCUUUUGGUAGUUGAGUUAGAGUCAAGAUGAGUUCAAGUCAUAGAGUCCAAGUCAAGACCAAGACUUGGACAUAUAAUAUUAUUUUUUUAUUAGUAAGAUGAAUUAUUAUAAAAACAGCAGUUUAAACUGAAAAGAAAGUGUCAUUUUACCUGCACAAAACAUUGCAUAACACAAAUUGUUUGUUGAAGUUUUAACAAUGUCUUUUUCAUAAUUAAGGCAUUUUAUGUAUUCAUUUAACUCCUGUAUUUUCCUAAAAAAAU
rnacentral:lncRNA from 1 species